UACGUAGGUGGCAAGCGUUGUCCGGAUUUACUGGGCGUAAAGAGCGCGCAGGCGGUCGUGCAAGUCGCGUGUGAAAGCCCCCGGCUCAACUGGGGAGGGUCACGCGAUACUGCUCGACUUGAAGGCAGGAGAGGGAAGUGGAAUUCCAGGUGUAGCGGUGAAAUGCGUAGAUAUCUGGAGGAACACCGGUGGCGAAGGCGGCAUCCUGGACCGGUAUUGACGCUGAGGCGCGAAAGCUAGGGGAGCAAACGGG
rnacentral:rRNA from 1 species